AUGAACGCUAGCGGGAGGCCUAACACAUGCAAGCCGAGCGGUAUAAUUCUUUCGGGAAUUAGAGAGCGGCGCACGGGUGCGGAACACGUGUGCAACCUGCCUUUAUCUGGGGGAUAGCCUUCCGAAAGGGAGAUUAAUACCCCAUAAUAUAUUGACUGGCAUCAGUUAAUGUUGAAAACUCCGGUGGAUAGAGAUGGGCACGCGCAAGAUUAGAUAGUUGGUGAGGUAACGGCUCACCAAGUCAGUGAUCUUUAGGGGGCCUGAGAGGGUGAUCCCCCACACUGGUACUGAGACACGGACCAGACUCCUACGGGAGGCAGCAGUGAGGAAUAUUGGACAAUGGGUGAGAGCCUGAUCCAGCCAUCCCGCGUGAAGGACGACGGCCCUAUGGGUUGUAAACUUCUUUUGUACAGGGAUAAACCUAGAUACGUGUAUCUAGCUGAAGGUACUGUACGAAUAAGCACCGGCUAACUCCGUGCCAGCAGCCGCGGUAAAAC
rnacentral:rRNA from 1 species